UCGGGAAUUUUGGGCAAUGGGGGCAACCCUGACCCAGCAACGCCGCGUGAGGGAUGAAGGCCUUCGGGUCGUAAACCUCUGUCGGGAGGGAAGAACGUUCUGCGGGUGAACAAUCCGCAGAGCUGACGGUACCUCCAAAGGAAGCACCGGCUAACUCCGCGCCAGCAGCCGCGGUAAUACGGAGGGUGCGAGCGUUGUUCGGAAUCAUUGGGCGUAAAGCGCGUGUAGGCGGCUUGGUAAGUCGGGUGUGAAAUCCCGGGGCUCAACCCCGGAACUGCACUCGAAACUGCCUCGCUCGAGUCCCGGAGAGGAGAGCGGAAUUCCCGGUGUAGAGGUGAAAUUCGUAGAUAUCGGGAGGAACACCAGCGGCGAAGGCGGCUCUCUGGACGGUGACUGACGCUGAGACGCGAAAGCGUGGGGAGCAAACAGGAUUAGAUACCCGUGUAGUCC
rnacentral:rRNA from 1 species